AAAACCAGCCCAGCCCUGACCCUGCAGCUCUGGGAGAAGAGCCCCAGCCCCAGAAUUCCCAGGUGUUUCUAUUCGGUGAUCAGCACUGAACACAGAGGACUCACCAUGGAGUUUGGGCUGACAUGGGUUUUCCUUGUUGCUAUUUUAAAAGGUGUCCAGUGUGAGGUGCAGCUGGUGGAGUCUGGGGGAGGCUUGGUCCAGCCUGGGGGGUCCCUGAGACUCUCCUGUGCAGCCUCUGGAUUCACCUUCAGUAACUACUGGAUGAGCUGGGUCCGCCAGGCUCCAGGGAAGGGGCUGGAGUGGGUUGGCCGUAUUAAAAACAAAGCUGAUGGUGGGACAACAGACUACGCUGCGUCUGUGAAAGGCAGAUUCACCAUCUCAAGAGAUGAUUCAAAGAACACACUGUAUCUGCAAAUGAACAGCCUGAAAACCGAGGACACGGCCGUGUAUUACUGUACUAGAGACACAGUGAAGGGAGGUCAGUGUGAGCCCAGACACAAACCUCCCUGCAGGGGCGCGCGGGGCCACCAGGGGGCGCUCGGGACCCACUGAGGACGGG